UAGCACGGUAACAUCUCAGUCUAACAACUCCUCUACAUCUCUGGAUCAUAUGUUAUUGGAGUUAUAAUCUCAAGGGUAAAUUAUAUUUUACCACAUUAAACCCUUUCCUGCACAGAUAGCAGGGACCUGAUACUAAUCGGACAAAACUGAGGAGAACCACAGGUUAGAAUAAAAUUCCACCAGUAAUUUAUAUUUGUAGCAAACAGUUAAAACAACCAUGAUAAUGGUAACACUGUUGAGGAAUUCACUUUGUCAAGAGAAAAAAACAAACAAA